rnacentral:rRNA from 1 species
AACCUGGUUGAUCCUGCCAGUAGUCAUACGCUCGUCUCAAAGAUUAAGCCAUGCAUGUCUAAGUAUAAAUCUUUUACUUUGAAACUGCGAACGGCUCAUUAUAUCAGUUAUAGUUUAUUUGAUAGUCCCUUACUACUUGGAUAACCGUAGUAAUUCUAGAGCUAAUACAUGCGUCAAUACCCUUCUGGGGUAGUAUUUAUUAAUAUUGAAACCAACCCCUUCGGGGUGAU